UUGUGCUAUUGGAAUACCGAGGUUGAGAGAAGCUUUUUCAUGUGGAAUAGAUAGCACUGUUUUUCCAUGCACGGGAGUUUCACCAAGAACUGUAUUACUCAGUGGUAAUUGAUAAUACAAUCGAUACAAUGAUACAAUCGAUAAGGCUUUGACCAAAAUUAUGAUAGACUGACCAUGAAGACGUCGUCCUAAGGAGAAUGUAAAAGUAUCUUUAAAAUAUGCCGGCGUCACUCUGGUCAAAAUCCUCUGUGAACCUUUACGUAUAUGCACAUACACUAUAUAAGCCCUCUCCUCAACGAAAACUUCAAGUGCGCAGAACGUUGGUAUCCCUCCUCGACGCCCAUUAAGUCUUCUGAGAGACUUUGGAAAAGUGUCAAGUCGCCCCGGUACAACUCAAGUAUAAAGAUGGUACGGGUGAGUCAGGAGGAGGACUUGAGGAAGAGCAGACGACAAGAAGAAUAAGAAAGAAUGGGGAUAAAUAAAAAAAAAAUAAUAGGUUAGAAUGCCCACCGUGCUUAUCAACCAGGACGAUCCACACUGCGAUUACCUUGUUUACCAGGUCUGGUUAGAUUCUACAGACUCGUAUCCAAGACAUCAAGCUAGCCAACUCGUACCGACAAAUUCCUGACACGGAAACCUACUCUCGGUGCUGGAUUCAAUUAGUCGACGCUCGCAAUUUAUUGGAAAACCAUUUAGCCGACCUGGUGUAUGCUCCGCUCGCGAUCGCCGCAUUCCUCAUAACGCCGAUCACGUUACAAAGGACCCUUCGAAACUACACUUUAUAUCUUCUUCUCCGUCAUUGCUGGAAGUGGAUAUGUAAGUCAGCCUUAAAAGGGACAGUCAGGAUUUGAAACGGGAGUAACAAAAGGUGACGAGAGGGCGAACAGAAGGUGAAAGGAUGUGGAAGACGCAAGCAAGGAAGGGAUAGAGUAGAUGUUAAAAAACAGAAUGGAAAAGUGUUGGGUGGAAGGAGAGGGAUUCUGAUAGGUUUCAUGAACGAAGAGAGAGGGAGAGAGACAGAGAGUGACGGAGCAGGAGAGACUAACACAGUGGAAGAGAGAAAUGGGCGAGAAGUUCCGCGCGUCAAGGCAAUCCACUCGAUCACUCUCUUGGGGACAGAGGAUCCCCGACGUCGCGGCACACACGCAUACGAGCGUCGCUAUUCGUCGCGACGGUUUCUGUCCGCAUAAACACAGACCGUUAUCCCUGCAGAGCCAGAGUCCCAGGUUUUUCUCAUUGUAGAUCCAGGACGGUUGAAACUCUUCAGGAUCACCAGGACGUCCAACCGGCUUCUACCUCACCGCUGGAACACGAAGCUGUACUUAGGAAUUGUUGGUUAUCGACGUAUCGAUCCUGAGAAACCUGUACUAGGACUUCGGCCGAAGCAUUUAUAUACUGGAUUUCUUAUGGUCGCCAAUGAAAUUUGAGAAUCUUACGAUGAACGUCUGUACCACCGGGUAUAUACGAUGGCUGAAAGAGAAAGGAAGGGGAAUCUUCUGUUUUUCCUCCUGGGAUAAACUCCAAGGCUUCUUCCUACUAGGCUCCAAGGUAAAACUCAGCUUCCCGGUUCGUCGGCGACGUCCGAAGACUAAUUCCGAUUCGCAGUUGGCCUUCGUUGGGAAUUCGCGGAUGGCGAACGGCCGGUUGGCUCGUGUGCGCCGACUUAGCGGCAUGUUAUUCGGCUCCGGGAACUCGUUCUGGGAAGUUGGCCAACAUCGGCUCCUCUCUACGCCUGCUAGCCUAGACUCACGAUCCACAGUCUGACCUAUGUUGUCCGCCACCACUUUCGGCUCUUGUCUCUUUGCUUCUCUUUACUUUGUUUCGUCCUCCUUGGCCACAACUUUAUCUACCGGGUGACCCGCGAAACAAGCAGUGCGUACACGAAACGAAAGAGAGAAAAACCGAAUAGUCCAUAUCUAUGCAAGAGACAAUUAAUCGACGAAAACUUCUCGGAACACCCGUUACGUUGCUGGGUUUGUCGGAUUUCGUGUAUCGGGAGUACGAGUAACGUGGGCGUCGCGGCGCAGCUUUGGCGCCCUUCUCAUCUAUUAACGUCCGUUCUCAGUCCUUUCUGCGUUACGACGUGACGCCCCGUAACGACACGCUGCCCCGAAUGCUCUCCGAAACGUCUUUUUCUCACGUGAGAAACAGUUGACUGAAGUAGAAAAUAUUCCGACUGUCAAAGGUCAAAGGACAAAUCCUGAUUCAUAUCCAAGAGAUCAGAAUGCACGACUGGACACUCUUAAAGAUUCAGACUUUUAAAGGAUAGUUAAACAAGUGACUAGCCUUAUAUACCAACAUUUUCAUCUGAAAUAUCAUUCGACUCAUCGUCAUACCUGAAGCAGCCAACUAUAAUGCUCCAGGAUCUUUCUCAGCAUUCCUCUGGUUCGUUCAACCCUUAAGGAGAGCAACUCCUACGGAAGAGGUUGAGAAUUUCAAAGUAAUGUGUACCAGGAACAAAUGACACCCGGUAUGUUAUCCGCCUAUACCGUAGAAGCCAGCCACCGAGACAACGUCAAGUGCCGAGAGUGUGACAUCGGCAUCCUCUCACGUUGCGAGAGAUGGAUGAGAUGUGGAGAGGGAAGGUGAGAGAAGGG